GCGAGAAUAGCUCAGCGGUAGAGCAAAAGCUUCCCAAGCUUAAGGUCGCGGGUUCAAAUCCCGUUUCUCGCU
rnacentral:tRNA from 1 species